GUAGGGAGCGCGCGUGUGCGUUGUGGACGGCCAUCUGAUAUUGAGGCGGUUAUAAAAAUGGAGGCUGGGGAGAGAGUUUGAGUUGGGGUGACGGUGACGUGGCCUGCGUUCUUAUUUCUUAAGAAGUGGAAUGUUACUAAUGCCUGGAUGAUUUUCUUUUAGCACAGGAGAGACAGCAGCACUCUAUGAAGAUGAAAAGCAGGACAUGGAAUGAUUUCUUCUGGGGGCUACAAAACUAAGACAAUGACGAGGCUCCCUGGACAGCCUCUCCUGCUUAGGUCUUCUGAAGGGAAGUACCAUGCACCCCCCUAGCGCAGUCUUUUCUUACUAUCUGGGUGUGAAUCAUGAUUUUUAAUGGAAAUCUCUUCCUUGAGGUAAAUAACUACCACCCAUCUUUUUUUUUUUUUUUUUUUUU